AAACUUUCAACAACGGAUCUGUUGGUUUAGGGAUCGAUGACGAACGCAGUGAAAUGUGAUCAGUAAUUUGUAUCGCAACUUCGAUCGGUCAUGCAGUCCCUAAACUCAAGAAAGAUCCCCCAAUAUGUCAAUCCUUAUGUCUGUCCGAGCGUCAUU
rnacentral:rRNA from 1 species